rnacentral:rRNA from 1 species
UACGUAGGGUGCGAGCGUUGUCCGGAAUUAUUGGGCGUAAAGGGCUCGUAGGCGGUUUGUCGCGUCGGGAGUGAAAACAUCCAGCUUAACUGGGUGCUUGCUUUCGAUACGGGCAGACUUGAGGUAUGCAGGGGAGAAUGGAAUUCCUGGUGUAGCGGUGAAAUGCGCAGAUAUCAGGAGGAACACCGGUGGCGAAGGCGGUUCUCUGGGACGGUACUGACGCUGAGACGCGAAAGCGUGGGGAGCGAACAGG